AGUUGAGACAGGUGGUGCAUGGUUGUCGUCAGCUCGUGUCGUGAGAUGUUGGGUUAAGUCCCGCAACGAGCGCAACCCUUACAUUUAGUUGCUACGCAAGAGCACUCUAGAUGGACUGCCGUUGACAAAACGGAGGAAGGUGGGGAUGACGUCAAAUCAUCAUGCCCCUUAUGACCUGGGCUACACACGUACUACAAUGGCUAUUAACAGAGGGAAGCAAAACAGUGAUGUGGAGCAAACCCCUAAAAAUAGUCUCAGUUCGGAUUGUAGGCUGCAACUCGCCUACAUGAAGCCGGAAUUGCUAGUAAUCGCGGAUCAGCAUGCCGCGGCGAAUACGUUCCCGGGCCUUGUACACACCGCCCGUCACACCAUGAGAGUUGGCAACACCCGAAGUCAGUAGUCUAACCGCAAGGAGGACGCUGCCGAAGGUGGGGUUGAUGAUUAGGGUGAAGUCGUAACAAGGUAGCCGUAUCGGAAGGUGCGGCUGGAUCACCUC
rnacentral:rRNA from 1 species